UAUUAGUCAUAUGACUGACGGAAGUGGAGUUACCACAUGAAGUAUGACUAGGCAUAUUAUCUUAUAUGCCACAAAAAGCCGACCGUCUGGGCAAAAAAA
rnacentral:ncRNA from 25 species